AUGUGCCAUCUCCGCACAGACUUGGAUUGUAAAUGGUCCGUGGUCCCCCUGGGGGCUCUGAUGGGUCAGACCCCAUUGGAGCCAGUCGGGCACCUUGGGGAGGAUUUCAUUCUACUGAAUGUCACGCCUGCUUCUGAGAUGCCUCUCCAGCACCUGCUUCCCCCUCCUGCCACAUUCUGUCUCUUUUUCUCAAUAAGCGAGCUCCUCAGUUCUCACAGAUGCUGUGUCUGUCUUAAGAGGAGCUAGAGUUGUCUCCUCAAUAACAUGGGUCAUUGUUUUCUGUGUUUCUGCCUGAGAAUUUAGAGCCUUUCUGACUAAUGUAUUUUUCUUACAAAACUGAACGGAACUGAUGGCCCAAAGGGCCAGCUGCUUUUAUUAGCCACAAAGUUUAAAAUUCCCUCUUUUCCAACUAUGACUGUAUCAAUAAUGACUAUUGUGGCAACCAUUUUGAUUACCACACCAGUUUAAUCGCUUUGGUAAACUCUCUUCACUUUGCAAAUCCCCUUUGGACUGCAGAAUUGGUGAUAGGACUAACAAAAUGAAGAAUACAGUCUUAGGAGUUAAUGGACUUCAUAAUUUGUCCUCUGUUUGAAAACGCAACUGUAGCUCUGUGAUACUCAAAGAACAUAUUCAGAACUUCAAUAUGGAGAAUUAUUUACAACUCAACUGAUUGUAAAACAUAUAAUAAAAAUGUGGUCGAGGUCUAAUUUUCCA
rnacentral:lncRNA from 1 species